rnacentral:rRNA from 1 species
UUAAAGGGCCUAAAUACCUGAAGGCAUUAGAUCCUAUCUGAUCUCAGACACCAAGCAUGGUCAGGCCUGGUUAGUAUUUGGGAGGGAGACCUCCAAGAAAUGCCAAGUGUUGUAGUCU